UAUUUUGUGUGUUUUGCAGCAUCAUCUAUUGCCUGGAUUGCCUGGAUUUUUGCCUACAAUUGCUCCUGCCGCGUUCGCUUAAUCAACGCAAACAUGAAUAGAAAGACUGUGCCUGUCUCUUUAUCAACUUUAAGACGAAGGACACGUGUAGCCGUUCAAAAAAGGCUGGCCAAGAUAUGACGUUUCUGUUGUCUGAACUUGUGGUAUACAAAUUCAUAAAUUUCUUGUUUAAAAAUAACGUCAUAGUUGCUUCUCUUUCUGCUUGGAAUAACCUAUUCUGUCUAUGUUCUGACCAGGUCUCUUGUAAGAGACAGACCUGAUACAUAAUCAUCAAUAAUAAUAAUAUUAUGUUCAGCUCUACAGCUAAUUUGAAACUCAUGUUCAUUUUAACAUAUUCAAUUUUAGACAACUACAAAGACGCAUUAAAAAUAAUGCAACAAUAUCGAAACGGCUGCAACACCUCAGACCUGCAAUCUGAGGCAGAGAAUGAGCUUGAGCUGCCAGAAAAAAAGGAACAGGAAGCCAGUCCAUCGUCUCGGGGACUCGGAUGAUAGCAAGGAAGACCAGGGGAAUGGUGACCUCGCAUUUCUGGGGUUGGCAAGCCAAUUGCACUGGCAGAGAAGGGAAUAAUCUCUUAACAUCGAAAAAACGAAACCACCACAUUAGUAUUAAAGAUAUGGUUAACAUUCGUAGUGCUAAAGAUAUUCCCCUCUCUUUGUAUCCCUUCUGCCAGCUCCACCGUCUUGCCGAGUGCCAGCAAGAGUCAUUAGUACUCGUCAACUCAACUCCUCAACUGGAGAUAACUUUCUAGCACCUCACCAUGGGGAAGGACUUAUUCAAAUGACUUCACCAGCACCUGCAUUAAACAUGCAGAGAGUUACACAAGAACGGCAGUCCUUCCUCGACUCCCUCCAGCCCCCGGACCAGCCCUCAACAUGUGGCAGACAGAGGAGCUUGGAUCCAGACUGGCCUACAGGCCAUCAUGGCGAGGGGGAAGAAUGGCCGACAACAUUUCCUGCUCUGCGGCUGAGGUCCAGAUACUUAGCCUGCUGGAAACUACUAAACACACCCACGACCAGCUGAUGGCGAAGGUCAACUUCUUGACCAGCAGGUUGACCAUUACCCAGGGGCCAGAAGUGGAAGUGCCGGCCAAUAUCCAGUUUCCACUGGAACAGUUGGAGGCAGUGGAGGCAUUUGACGCAUUUUUGAAUGAACCAUCAAAUGGCCCAGCUCGACAAAGAGUGGUGAGGUUUCUUACUUAAUAUGAAUGGUGCCAUUAGGUUUAUUGAUUGUCCAUGAUUAUGCAUAUAUUCUUUUGAAUCAGCCCUGACAACCAGGCCUGUCCUGAACCGCCUUUUCCCAGUGGUAAGAUUAUGUCAGUGAGCCACAAUCUGCCUGGUUUGACAUCGUGUGUAAAGGUAGCAUAGGUCCAUGAGCCAAGAGAACAGGUUCUGUUUUUUUUACAUUUCUGGACGCUUUCAACAGGGACAAAAACAUUUUAAAUGCAACUUAAGCCUAAAAAUGUUUACCUGUUUGUUUAAAGAGAUGUCUAUGCCUUUUAGAUUUCUUCUUUGGCCACCACUGCAGGCUAGGAUGUGAAGCGGGUGACCUGGAACAUCCUGGGCAGGAUCUUCACAGAUGAUGUUUCACAUCAAAUCAAUUGGAAGGUUGUCAACAACAAAAAGGCCUUUAGCAGGAUGGCAACAAAGACCUUACUUUUCAGUGCUGUAAGAAAAAAUGUGGUCCCAAGGUCAGCCACAGACGCUGAGGUCACCAAACACGCAAUCAGGUAGUUCAACCUGGCGGCGGAUCGGGCAGCGAAGAGACGAGUCCCGCCUCCACCUCCACAGACAGAGGAAUAGAAAUAUGUAUCAAUAAAAAACCUUGUAUUGAA